AUGAAAAAUAUUGAUGGAUCUUAGCAACUUAUCCAGAAAACUAGUAAUACAAAAGAAUAUGGAUAAAUUAUUUUUCUAUCUAAAUGUUGCCUGUAAAAUACUUACCCAGAAAAAUAUAGAUUCUUGGAUAAAUCUUUUAUCCUUAAAAGAACAGGCCCUAAGGAGUAAGUAAAGAGGAGGUUGCUUUGCAACCAUUGUGAGAGGCUGGCCAUAGCAUUUGGAUUGUUGAACACUAGCCCGGGAACAAGGAUUUUGAUGAUCAAGAAUCUAAGCACCGUGACUGCUCUGGCACAACCAUGUCUUAAACAGUCAACUGGGAGGUGGCAUCGAGGAAUGUGAAAGAUUGUGAUUGCUAUGGCACAACUAUGUCUUAAACAGUCAAUUGGGAGGUGGCAUCGAGGAAUGUGAAAGAUUGUGACUGCUAUGGCACAACUAUGUCUUAAAAAUAGUGAACCAGAAGGUUGCAGUGAGGAAUGUGAAACAAGUCAUCAUUUUAAAGAUGGAAUGCUUACUCAUGGAGACCGCUUGUAAUUUUUGUGCCUUGAUGAAGAGCCAAGGAGAACAGAUAGCUUCAAUCUUGAAUUUUGAUGAACAGCUGGAAGCAGCUCCAACAGCAACAUAUGCUGGUCUUGAGGUAAUCAAGUGAAGAUCAAGAUAUACUGUCAUCAGGUGUAUUUGUAGUGCUGAAGGUUCUCCCUCUAAGAGAGCAUAUUCUCCUUUUUUUGAAUUUCUUCAUUGUCCUCGUUCUAUGAUUUUAGUUUGAAUUUUGUUUUGUCAUUCAAUUGAUUUGAAGACAUUGAUAGCUUUUCCAUAUUGGCGUUGUACUAUUGGAUGCUACGGUGUUUCUACAGUAUAAAACCAGCAUUAAGAACUAUAGCUUCUAGACUCUAGACUGUUUGUAAACAUUUUUGGAUGAGUAGAAUAAUGGUCUACUGAAGUUUUUCCUGCA